rnacentral:misc_RNA from 1 species
AACCUUAUGGACCUGCGGGCGUAUACCUGCGGAAGGAUCAUUACCGAGUUUACAACUCCCAAACCCCUGUGAACAUACCUAUAUGUUGCCUCGGCGGAUCAGCCCGCGCCCCGUAAAACGGGACGGCCCGCCGCAGGAUCCACAAACUCUGUUUUUAUUGUAACUUCUGAGUAACAAAACAAAUAAAUCAAAACUUUCAACAAUGGAUCU